rnacentral:lncRNA from 1 species
CGGACCAAAAAAAUACAUGGGCUUGAAAAAAGUGUGCCAACAGUUUGACAUGCCAUCUUAAAAAAAUUUUAAAAAAAGAAAAAAAAACUUUUUGUACUUUUUUUCUUAGGCCGACCCAUGGCACAACACGACACGAGUGACGAACAAGACCUAAGCAUAAAAAUUUAAGCACAACACAACACAACACGAAGUACAUGGUGAGCACGGCAUGGCAGAAACACAAGCCCGCACAAAUCUUCUUUUGUCGGCCCAACCCAUUGGCCAUCUCUUUACCCAUCUAGUGAGUUGAGUGGUAAUUAAUUAUAAUCAAUAAAUAUAAAAUGAUAUUGAAAAUCAAAUUAAAGAAUUUUUGUUAGAUUUGUAAUGAAAAAAUUUUCAUCAGUCCAAAGAAACAUUUGUGGGCUUUAUAGCUCUAUGUUCUCAUGCAUGCAUUAUCUUCUUUUAUGCAUACAAUGCAAGAUUGAUAAAUAUCAAUUGUCAUGCAUGUGAUCUACUCACGUUUGUUAUCUCAAACUAGAUAUAUCAAACAUGAAUAAACAAUUGUAUUAAAAAAAACAUGAGUAAACAAUUAUUAUCCAAGACAUUCAUUAUUCAUUUCCUUUUUUUCUAGUAUAAAGAUUAAUGUCUCCAUUAGACGAAAAUUUGUUAUAUAAAGAUUAGAAAUACAAUUUGUGAUAUAAAGAUUUUAUACAAACAAAUAGAUACAUACAUAGUCAUUUUCUAAUUAGGACAUCUUCACGUUAUUCAAGUAAGGAUCUCGGUAAAAUUUAAAAAAAAAAAAAACACACACACACACACAUAGAUUUCAAUGUAUUGAAAUCUGUGCUUUUUUUUAAUAUUUUAACACUAGAGAAAGAUUAUAUAUAUAUAUUAGUAGUUCUUUCCCAUGGACGUCCAUGCGAAGUACAAUGUGGAUUUGAUACUUUAUGAUCUUUCAAACGUUUUACAAUAGUGCAGAUCAUUUUAUGAGACCAUAAAACACUCUAAAAUAAGACCAUUAUUAAUAUAGUAGAAUAGGCAUGGCUAUGGACUCACUUUUUAUUUUUUAGGCCAAUAUAUUAAAAUUUCACAUGUUGUAUUUAAAACUUGCGUUCUCUAUAUGAAAUUGAUUUAAAUUUAUGUGAAAAAACUAAAAGGGAAAUUAUCAUUUGCAUACCCUUAGUUUACUCCAUUAUAAAAAAUACUACAACACUUUGAGGGUGUAUCAAUCGUCCACUCUAAGUUGACAAAAUGUAUCAGCUGACCACCAAACUGUUAGUUGCCGUUUAAUGAUGAUGACGUCAGAAGGGUAAUUUGGUCUUUUCAUAUGAUACAAGUGAUAAUUUAAGGGUAUACAAGUGAUAAUUUUCAAGGGUAAAAUCGUCAAUUCACUGUAAUUCCGUUAACUUUCAAACAGCAACUAACGGUUUGGUGGUCGGCUGAUACAUUUUAUCAACUAAGAGUGGACGAUUGAUACACCCUCAAAGUAUUAUAGUAUUUUUUAUAACAGAGUAAAUAUAGGGUAUAUGAAUGAUAAUUUCCCAAACUAAAAUAAAACAUCUUGUACUUAGAAAUAGAUAAAUUAUUAUAUUAUGGGUGGAGUUAUUUACACUCUAAAGGUUAAUUUGAAUACUCUAUUACCCUAUACACUUAUCUACUUAAUUUAAAAAAUUAAGUUUUAUUUUGUACACUCUAAAAAAUUUCAAAAUAUAUCCUUAAAUUAUUUAAAUUAAUUAUCUUUAUUUACUCAAAAUACUAAUAAAGCUACUCAACACACCUUUUAGACUAAAUUAUGAAUGACCCAAUACUUAUGAAAAAUAUAGACCCAAUAAAAAUAUUUUAUAUGAAAUAACCUAAGUUCAUUCUUUAUAAGAAUGACCUUAAGUAUUUAGAAUUCAAAGUAAAGUGGCAAAGUGUAAGAUACGACAAAACACCAAAAGCAUAAUCCAUAAAAAAAAUUAGGUUCAUUCUUUAUAAAGAACGACAUAGGUCCAUUAUUUACAAAGAACGACCUGAGUCCACUAUUUAUAAACAGUGACCAAGGUUCGUUUCUCACAAACAAUGACCUAGGUACUUGAUAAAUAUUUUUAAAUAAAACACCCAAAGUGCGAAUAUUGGACAUAAUGCCUAAGACACGAUUUUUCAAAGAAUGACCUAGAUUUAUUCAUCACAAAGAAUGACCUAGGUUAAUUUUUUAUAAAGAACGACUUAAGUCAAUUCCUUAUAAUAAAUUAUCUAGGCUCUUAGAAAAUAUUUAUAAGUAAAACACCUAAAGGGCGAGUCUUGAACAAAGUGCCAAACGUGCGAUUCUUCAAAGAAUGGCCUAGGUCCAUUCUUCACAAAGAAUGGCCUAGGUCCAUUCUUCACAAAGAAUGGCCUAAGUCCACUCUUCACAACGAAUGACAUAGGUCCAUUUUUUUUAUGAAAAAUGACCUAUGUUCAUUCUUUAUAAAAAUUAACCUAGGCACUUAGAAAAUAUUACCAAUAAAAAUAGACUUAGGUUCAUUCUUUACAAAAAAACGACAUAGGUCAUUUCUCACAAAACAAAAUGAUCUAGACACUUAGAAAAUAUUUGUUGAGUGUUAGAAAAUGUAUAUUUAUAAAGGAGAAAAUCAUCAUUUUAUAUUUCAAGUUUUACUAACAACCCUUACUUUUAUGUAUUUAAGCUUCUUGCAAUUUAAUUAUGUGUGUUUGAUGUUAAUUAAGUAUUUUAUGUAUUUUAGGGGCAUCAUGGUCAUUUCACAAUAAACGAGAGAUCAGACGGCAAAACGGACAUCACUUUUGAACUCAGGACGGUCGAAAACCUUAAGAGGAGCAUAAAAGGAAAAAUGACACUAUUCAUGUGUACGGUACUGUCUACAUUACUGUUCAUAACACUGUUCACAUAGAUGGAUCGAUGACGUGGCAUUGACCGAUGAUGUGGCAUUGACUGAUGAGGUGUCAUGAUCCUGUUGGGCUAAAAUUCUUAUGUACUGUUGAUGGUGACGUGGCAGUAUAUCAGUGGACGAAAAAUCUCGCGUACGGUACAUGCAUCACACAGGAUUAUUUUCAACCAAACCGCGUCACUGUUCAACCCGGGUCAAACUGUGUUACUGUUCAUCCACGUGGUCAAACCGCGUACUGUUGACUGAUGACGUGACGCAAUCCUGAGCGUCCAAACUGUUUUUAAUCUGAUGGCCAUAAUUUACUCCAUGUAUCUAUAAAAAAAAGGGCCUCUCCCCCCUAAUUUGAUAUCUCUGAAUCCAUUUUUGGGAUCCAUUUUCUGUAAUUCCUUCUCCAUCUUGUAUUUUCUACGUAUUUUAAUAAAUUCCCAUUUUGCCCCUUGUUCAAUUGUGAGUAGCUAAUUUUCUUUCAAGCUUGGGUUGAAGAUGAAGUCUCAAAAUGUGUCAUGGGCUUUAUUUGGUAAAUUUACUUUCUCUUCCCCUCUAAUUUUUGUGGAUGUUUUGACUUCUCGUCAACAAAUAAUACUAAUUUUGUCUAGUACCGCCUUGGUUUCACCAACCCCCUAGUACAAUGUUAUUAUUAUUUGGCACGAUAAACCCUUAGCACCAUAUUGAUUAGAGCGUGGUUCAUGAGGUGUGGAUUCCCCUCUCAUGAUUUAAUUGACAUUAAUAAGGAUUAUUUAGCACAUGAUGCAUGUUGAUACGGAUCCAGAUACCCAAGUACGUCAUCUCAAUAGAUUUCUCUUUAAUUUAUUCUCGUCAUUUCAAUUCCAAUUCCAAUUUUAGAAUUUAUUCUCGCCAUUUCAAUUCCAAUUUUAGAAUUUAUUCUCGUCAUUUCAAUUCCAAUUUUAGGAUAAUCCAAAUCACUUUCACUACAAAUCCAACCACCCAUUUACAAAAUUAAUUCUACACACAAUUAAAAUCCACCUCCUCGUGGGAUCGACACUCGUCAUCAUUAGUCUAUUCUACAAUAGAUUCGUGCGCUUGCGAGUUCAAUAAAAUUUGCACAACAAUAUUUCUAAGUAAGAGUUUAUAAGCAUACACAGAUUCUACGGAAUGCACUUAUGGGCAAAUAUAAAUUCUACGGAAAGUGCCUAUGAGCAAAUAGACAUUUUAUAGAAUAUGUCUAAGGACAAAUAUAUAUUUUAUAGAAUGCGUCUACAAGCAUAUCCACAUCCCGCGAAAUGCACCUAGGGGAAAUUGCUCAUUUUACGGAAUAUGCCUAUAAGUAAAUACAAAUUUUACGGAAUACGCCUACGGGAAAAUACACAUUUUACAGAAUAUGCUUAUAGACCAACAAACAUUCUACGAAAUGUGCCUAUGGGCCAACAAACAAUCUACAAAAUGAGCAAAAUAUUACAAAAUCAAUCUUCUUUGUAGGGAACCUAUAUAAGUGCGGAAUUCAACCUCAAGCCCAUCAAAGUUCAAGGGCCUAAAAGUAUGACAAGUGUCUAAAGAAUACACAUAUUAAUAUUUGUCUCCCUACAUGGGCUUCGACUAAUACUUGUCAUAGGAAAAGUGACAUAUAACUUCUCCAAUUGACUAUAAGAUGCCUAUAUAAAGACCAAGAUCCUUCAUUUGAAGGUAAGAGAAAAAAUGGGCAUAAAAUGACUACAAAAACUAUGUCCAUCUCACUCUAGAUUUUCUCUCUCUAAAAAUUGAAUAAAAAACAGACUUGAGCAUCAGAGAGUUGUCGCCAGUACGCUAGCCCCCCUUUGACAAUUGUUUCUUUUUUACAAAGUAAUUAACCACAAGGAGACACAUGAUUUGAGACACAUGUCUUAAGGAGAAAAUAAGCCAUAAAACUUAAUUUAAAAAAAAGUCCGAAAAAAAAUCAAUCACUGUACAUUGAGCAAAAAUUUACAUCAACAACACUAAAAAAAAUUAAAAGAUAUUUAACAUAUAUGCAACUUUUCAGUAAAAUCAAAUUGUAAAUAAAUGCUUUAAUACAAUUUUAAGAACUUGCAAUCAGCAUUAAUUUUUGCCCAAAAAAAAAGAAAAAGAAAAAAUCCUGAAUGUGACUCCAAGAAGAAAAAGGAAGACAAAGAAGUUGAAUGGGUUUAAAAUACUUUUAUUUUUAUUUUUAAAUCAAAAGGCGGAAAAUAUACUUUUAAUUUUUAAGUAUUUAUAUUCGUGAAGCAAAAAAAAAUGUUUACAGUACUUUUAUUCAUUUUAGUUUUUUUAAAAAAGAAAAAUCAUCAUUCAUAUACCCUAUGUUUGCUCUGUUAUUAAAAAUACUACAACACUUUGAGAGUGUAUCAAUCGUCCACCAUUAGUUGACAAAAUGUAUUAGCCGACCACAAAACCGUUAGUUGCCGUUUGAAAGUUAACAGAAUUACAGUGAAUUGACGAUUUUACCCUUGAAAAUUAUCACUUGUAUACCCUUAAAUUCUCUUUUUAUCACUUGUAUACCCCUAAAUUAUCACUUGUAUCACAUGAAAAGACCAAAUUACCCUUUUGACGUCAUCAUACUUAAAUGGCAACUAACGGUUUGGUGGUCAGCUGAUACAUUUUAUCAAUUUAGGGUGAAGGAUUGAUACACCCUCAAAGUGUUGUAUUUUUUAUAAUAGAGUAAAUUAAAGGUAUACAAAUGAUAAUUUUCCUAAAAAAAAUAAAAGCAUCAAACAGUUAUAGUUAAAAUCUUUUAAAUUUUGUUUAUGAUAAAUAAAAGUUUAGAGUUUAAAAUAAGAGAAUUAUAUUUGGAAUAAUGGGCAUGUUAUAUGAGGGUGUUAUGAGCCCAUUUGAGAGUGCGGUGAGACGUCUGGGCUGCCAAAACCCAGCUACUAAAGUGUUUGGUAACACUUGUAGUUGGACUUUAGCAGCUUGGCAAAUUUUUUUUCCCCACUGUAGGUUAAAUUACUAAAUUAGCCUUAUAAAUUAUUCCAUUUUAAUUUUAUCCUCCACAAUUUUAAACUUCAUUUCAAAAUUCAAAUCGAUUUUUUUUUAAACAAACCCUAAACGACCAUUCUCAUCAGCACGAUUCCGACUGUGGGAGUUCCAAUUGAUGCGAUUCCGACACCGGCCACUCUCAUACGCCUCUGUCAGUGGUGCGUUUUCAUUUACUCGUUGUUCAUUUUUUAGUGUUCCUUUACCCUAUUACAUGCAAUUUUUAUUUUCUUCCUUUUCAUUCAUAAUAUAUUGGGGCUUUUAUUUAGAAUAAAUUGAUGGGUGAUGGGUCAUGCGUGAUUUACUUGCUUGUAACCACUGUUUUUAUUGUAGUUUUUAUUUUUGUAGUUGCUUUUUAUAGGCAUGCACAACCCUUGUUUGAUGAAAUUCCCCUAAUAAAAAUCCAUUUCAAACUUCUUUGAGCAUAGUUCAUGCUCUACUAUUUUAACAAGUUUCAAUUUUGUUUAUAUUUACCUGUGAAAUUUGUAAUUUAUAGUAUGCACUUAUGAGUGGUAUAUGUUGUUUUCUUGAAGUUUAUGUUUAUGAUAUCUAUUAUCUGGGUUAUGUUCAUUUGCCUCAAAUUCUGUAAUUUUGAUUUGAGUUUCUAGUUUUUUGUGUCAUGGCAAAACUCAGACUUUAGAUGUAGUUCUUGGUUAUGAUAAUUGUUUAGUUGAAUUUCUUUGUUUCCUAGUCUGGUUUGUCUUUUGUUGCUUUAUUGAAUUGCUUGUAAUUUUUUUUUCUAUUCGUGGGCUAUGAUCAUUAUUGUUUGUUGGAAAAGUAUUUCAAGUAAACUAAAUGUUUGAUUAAAAGUAUUUCAAGUAAAGUAAAGUAACAACUAAAGUAACUUGUUCUGGUUUGUUUGUUUUUUUUAAUUUUUUGAUAUUGAAUUAUUUUUCCUUGCACAAUCCAUAACAAGAUUCUGGUAAUUUUCUUAACUUAUAUAUUCUUAUUUUUCCUGUAUUGUUGUUUAACAAAGAAAUAUAUUUUUUUCUAGGUUUAAGUGUAUGAAAUUAUGUCUAGUAGCUCAACUAGUAAGGCUACCUAGAACCCCCAGACUUUAGAUGUAUUUUGUGACUUAUGCAUUAAAGAGGUGGAUGCUGGACAUAUUCCUAGGACUCAUUUGACUUCCUAAGGAUAUUAAAAUUUGAUUCAGGAAUUCACUAAAGAAACCAGAUUAUAUUGCAACAAAACUCAAAUGAAAAAUAAAUGGGAUUCUCUUAGAACUGAUUGAAAAUUGUGGGAGAAUUUGAUUGGGAAGGAAACUGGUUUAGGGUGGAAUCAUAGGUCAAGGAUAGUUGAUGCAAGUGAGGAAUGGCGGUAGGGAUGGCAAAACCUCGGGCCGGGUCCGGGUAUUGCAAUGACCAAACCUUGCCCGGAUGCAACCAGUCCAUGUCCGGGUCCGAGCCUGGUUUUAAUCCGGGUACCUGAAUUUUAUAUUUUUUAAUAUUAUAUGUGUAUAUAUUUUUUAUUUUUUGGUAAUUUUAUAAGUUUUAAAUUUAUUUCAAUAAAAUUUGACAUGAAAAUACAAACUUUAAGUGUUUAAAACUUUAUAUAUGUAUAAUAAAUGAGUCAAAUAAAUAUAAAUAUUUAAAAUAAUAUAUAUUUUAUAAUAUUUUUUAAUAAAAUCCGAGUUCCGGGUUUAUUAAGUGAUGUCCAAGACCGACCCGGCUUCAUACCCAGGCCGGGUAUUACCCGGCCCACAACACUUGGGUACGGUUCUGGUCCGGACCGGGUGGAUAUUUUUGCCACCUCUAAAUGGUGGGAAAAGAAAAUAAAGGAAAAUCUGCAAUUCAGUAGAUUUUGGAAAAAUGGUAUUGAUCCAGAGUUGGAGAAAAAAUUAAAUUUAAUGUUCAUGAACACUGUGGCUACGGGUGAGCAUGUUUGGGUUCCCUCAUCUAGUUUUCCUUUAGAGAGUAAUGACGCAUCUGAAUCUCUUCGUGUUGAGAGUACUGCUGACUCUGAUGAGUAUAUUGUGUCUGAUGAUAGUAAGGGAAGCAAAGGUAAAAGCGUGGCUGUAAAAGGGAACAAAGCAGAAGGUGCUGUAAAACUGUCAAGGCAACUUGAUCGUCUCAUUGAUGCAGUAGAGAAAAGGAACACAACUUCAAACUCUCAAAAUGAUACAAGUGGGCAAGAGAUUUAUAAAGCAUUGGAAGUGGUUGCUUCUUUACCAAACAUUGAGGCUGGGAGUGAAGUGUGGUUAUUUGCUAGUCAGUUGUUUAUGGACAAAGUGAAAAGGAAUUUAUUUAAUGAGAUAGAAGAUCCAAAUGUCAAAUUGAAAUGGCUUAAUUAUGAGAAAAAUACAAAAUGAAAAUGUAUUGUAUUUAGAUUAUGAAACAAUAUUUUGUAAAUUACGUUUAUGAAUGAAUACUUUUUAUUUUGUCACUUAUUACACUUUAUAUUUCAUUUACAAUGUAUAUAAAUUGUUGCUAUUGAUUUAUUUGUGCAAAUUUCAUUAAUUAUGCAAAAUUUUCUGAAAUAUAUUCUUGAUUAUAAAAUAUAUCCAUUGUUCUUACCAUGAGGCUUAUUUAUGAAAAAUUUUUUGGACUAUUUGCUUGAGGAAAAAUAAUAGCAUUGAAAUGAUUAUUAAUAUAUCUUCCAUAAUUAUGUCUUAACUUUCCAGCAAGUUCUGGCUUUUGGCGUAUAAUCUCCUUCACAAAAUCCACAUGCCCACGCAUACAUAAUUAAUGGAUCUUGGUGAAGCAAUUCUAACGAGGUAGGCAUACUCCCUUUUAAAGCUGCUUCGUAAAGUAUACUUUUCAUUGUUUCCAUAUCAUGUGCUAUUGAUCUUUGUUUGCUGUGUGGGAAAUUUUGCUUGCAUAAAUUAAAGACUAGCAGCUUGACAUUCAUACAUGCAGAGCCUUGAGUAGACUUCUGGUCAAUGUGAAAAAGAAUAAUUUAUUUUAUUCUUAAUUUUUUUUUCUGAAACUAGUAUUCUACUUAAUUCUAAAACUAGAUAAUUUCCAAUACAACUGUCAUAACAUAAUACAUCGUGGUAUUACUGGACAUAGAAUUUAUGACAAAAUCUAGCUAAUUUCUAUAAUUUAUUUUGUAGAGGCAAAUCCCAAAAUGAACUUGGAUAUAAUAAUGGGAAUGAUGGAAUGUUAAAAAAUUAAUGCAUGAGUGAACUUGGAUAUAAUAACGGGCAUUUGGCCUGAAAUUUUGAAUUGGGGCUGUUGAGUGUUAGAAAAUGCAUAUUUAUAAAGGAGAAAACCAUCAUUUUACAUUUCAAGUCUUACUAACAACCCUUACUUUUAUGUAUUUAACCUUCUUGUGAUUUAAUUACAUGUGUUUUAUUUUAAUUAAGUAUUUUAUGUAUUUUAGGGGCAUCAUAGUCAUUUCACAAUAAACGAGAAAUCAGAUGGCAAAACGGACAUCACUUUUGAACUCAGGACGGUCGAAAACCUUAGGAUGAGCAUAAAAGGAAAAAUGGCACUGUUCACUUGUACGGUACUAUUCACGUGUACGGUACUGUAUACGUUACUGUUCACGACACUGUUCACAUAGACGAAUGAUGACGUGGCAUUGACCGAUGAUGUGGCAUUGACUGAUGAGGUGUCACGAUCCUGUUGGACUAAAAUUCUUAUGUACUGUUGAUGGUGACGUGGCAGCAUAUCAGUGGACGAAAAAUCUCGCGUACGGUGCAUGCAUCACACAGGAUUAUUUUCAACCAAA